CUAAUUCUGAGGAUGGGGAAAUCAGGACGGAAAUUUUGGAAUAUCAAUCACAAUCUUCAUCUGCUUCCUUGUCUGACUAUCACUCUGCGUGUCACUUUGGAAGAUUAGAAGACAGCCUGAGAGGAAAGAGGCCCAGGGGCUGACUCAGCAGUUUUGGGAUUGAGAAUCUCCUUAUUCUGUGGCCUUAACAAUUCAGAGUCUUAAUGAUCCAUCUUCCUUCAUCUGUGAAGACAAAAUAAUACUUGCCUAUUUUGGAGGAUGUUGUGAGUUGGGAAUGCACCCUGCACACAGCAGAUACUAGAAGCAUCAUAUCUUGGUUUCCAUCUA